AUUGAACGCUGGCGGCAGGCCUAACACAUGCAAGUCGAACGGUAACAGGAAGCUGCUUGCUGCUUUUCUGACGAGUGGCGGGCGGGUGAGUCAUGUCUGAGAAACUGCCUGAUGGAGGGGGACAACUACUGGAAACGGUAGCUAAUACCGCAUAACUUCUCAAGCCCAAAGAGGGGGACCUUCUGGCCUCUUGCCAUCGUAUGUGCCCAGCUGGGCUGAGCUAGGAGGUGGGGUAAGGGCUCCCCUAGGCGGCGAGCCCUAGCUGGUCUGAGAGGAUGAGCAGCGACACUGGAACUGAGACACGGUCCAGACUCCUACGGGAGGCAGCAGUGGGGAAUAUUGGACAGUGGGCGCGAGCCUGAUGCAGCCAUGCCGAGUGUAUGAAGAAGGCCUUCGGGUUGUAAAGUACUUUCAGCGGGGAGGAAGGGAGUAAAGUUAAUACCAUGGCUCAUUGACGUUACCCGCAGAAGAAGCACCGGCUAACUACGUG
rnacentral:rRNA from 1 species